CUUGAACAAGUUUUGCAAAAAUAUCAUGAAGCCUGUUAUCAUAUCGUUCGUGCUGCUUCUGCUGUGGAGUGUAAUAGCUGCUCAAGAUACAACUGACUGUCCUGGUUGUUCUGAUAUGACUAGGACACCGGCUGAUGAGAUGUCAACACAUGACAUCACAUCUGGAACUCAUUACGAACCGUAUGGAACGGUAGUAGAGAAUGAAGGCACAACGGAAGUGCCACAGGAAGAGUGAUAUAAUAUAAUUUGGAACUUAUAUAUAUAUAUAGAUAUAUAAUGGCCCUGUUUUGUUUAAAUUACUGGUUGGUACUAAGAUAAUUGUUAGCUAUGAACCUGUUAUAAAGUCCGAUAUUAUCGACAUAUUUAUAUGUUCACAAUAGCGAUAAGUGUAUAUUAUAUUUUGAAUAUGU